GAAAUCUGGCGUCCUCCGGGCGUCCGAGUUGUAAUCUAUAGAAGCGUUUUCCGCGCCGGACCGUGUAUAAGUCUCCUGGAACGGAGUAUCAAAGAGGGUGACAAUCCCGUGCUUUACACGACGACCGGUGCUAUGUGAUACGUUCUCUACGAGUCGAGUUGUUUGGGAAUGCAGCUCAAAACGGGUGGUAAACUCCAUCUAAAGCUAAAUAUUGGUGGGAGACCGAUAGCGAACAAGUACCGUGAGGGAAAGAUGAAAAGCACUUUGGAAAGAGAGUUAAACAGUAUGUGAAAUUGUUGAAAGGGAAACGAUUGAAGUCAGUCGUGUCCAUUGGGUUCAGCCGGUCCUGCCGGUCUACUCCCUUUGGACGGGUCAACAUCAGUUCUGACCGGUGGAUAAUGGCACGAGGAACGUGGCACCCUCCGGGGUGUGUUAUAGCCUCGCGUCGCAUACACUGGUCGGGACUGAGGAACGCAGCUCGCCUUCAUGGCCGGGGUACGCCCACGUACGAGCUUAGGAUGUUGACAUAAUGGCUUUAAACGACCCGUCUU
rnacentral:rRNA from 1 species